rnacentral:lncRNA from 1 species
AGGCUGAGGAAGGAGGAUCCCUUGAGCCUGAGAGUUUGAAGCACAAGAACCAUCAAUCAGCACAGAAGACUUCUGUGACCCCAAACUAUGUGGGGAUUUCUCCCUAGCAACAAGCAAGCAAUCAGUUUGGCAACAAACACUGACUGGAUGUCUUCCAAUUCAAUUCCAACACUAUCUACCUGGAAAUAGUGUCUGAUCCCACAGGGAAGAUGACCAGUUUACAUAUGGAAUCUGUUGAAUUUGAGCAAACAACUCAAAAAAGCAAAAUGGCUAUAGAGGCCAGAUGGGAACAUAAAUGAGUGAAUCAAGUCAGAUGCAACUGUGGAGAAAUCAAAACAUCGAGAGAAGGUAGUUCUACUUAGUUAUGCUUGAAUGUUGCCCUAUGAGAAUUUCAGGCCCAGUAUUGCCAUAUUUUAAGAUUUUUCAUGAAAAGAUGGAAAUCUGGAUUUGUAUGCAAAAAUUUGUGUGAAUAUCAAAUUCAAGUGUUUAAAACUACUGUGGCUCAAACUAUGGCUUCAAGUUUGCAUCUCUGAGCAAAAGGCUGUUGGAAAUUCAGAACUGGAUGUAAAGUGAGAGAUCUGGGCUGAAGGUAAAUGAUUAGGGAAUUCAUAAGCACAGAGAGGAUGGUAGAUGCUUCCAAAACAGUAUGUGUUAGAAUAGUAACCAGCACUUGACAUGAUUAGUUAAAAUAAGGCAAAAAUAUAUGAGUUAACAAGUUAGUCAGGACUUAGAGAAAACUGAUAAAACUAGCAGUGGAAAACUAGCAGACUUAAGUGGGUAUAUUUAAAAUUCAAUUUUCAAUGAACUAAAAGCUAAAUUCCAGACAAUGACUCUGUGUGUGUGUGUGUGUUUAAGAUAGGAUUUCGCUCUGUUACCCAGGCUGGAGUGCAGUGACAUGAUCAUGGCUCACUUCAGCCUCGACCUCCAGGGCUCAAGCCAUCCUACUGCCUCAGCCUCCCAAGUAGCUGGUACUACAGGCAUGUGGGACACAGGCUAAUUUUUGUAUUUUUUGUAGAGACAGGUUUUCACCACGUUGCCCAGGCUAGUCUCAAACUCCUGAGCUCAAGCUACCCACCUGCUUCAGUCUCCAAAAGAGCUGGGAUUGCAGGCAUCAGCCACCAUGCCUAGCAUUUUAUUUUUUUUGAGACAGGAUCUCACUCUACUGCCCUGGCUGGAGUGCAGUGGCGUGACCAUGGCUUAGUGCAGCCUCAAAGUCCUGGGCUUAAGGGAUUCGCCCAUGUCAGCCUCCCAAGUAGCUGGGACUACAGAUGCAUGUCACCACAUCUGGAUUAAUUUUUAAUUUUAGAGAUGGGGGGGUCUCCCUAUGUUGCCCAGAUUGGUCUCCAACUCCUGGGCUCAAAGAAUCCUCCCAGCUUGGCCUCCAAAAGUGCUGCUGAAUUUUCAUAUAUCCAUGACGUGAUGGAAACAUUUAGAAAGUUUCAAUGUUUAUUUCCCUCACUUAAAUAUAUUUCGAUUUGAAAAAAAACUAUUGUCUAGACUUCAAAGAGUAUAUUCAUCUAGCCCUAAAAGCUAGAUGUUCUUAUAAUUAAGACACUUAAAAUUCAAUAAUUAAAAAUUUUUUACACUGGGCACAGUGGCUCACACCUGUAAUCCCAGUA